rnacentral:rRNA from 1 species
GAUGAACGCUGGCGGCGUGCCUAAUACAUGCAAGUCGAGCGAACAGACGAGGAGCUUGCUCCUCUGACGUUAGCGGCGGACGGGUGAGUAACACGUGGAUAACCUACCUAUAAGACUGGGAUAACGUCGGGAAACCGGAGCUAAUACCGGAUAAUAUAUUGAACCGCAUGGUUCAAUAGUGAAAGACGGUUUUGCUGUCACUUAUAGAUGGAUCCGCGCCGCAUUAGCUAGUUGGUAAGGUAACGGCUUACCAAGGCAACGAUGCGUAGCCGACCUGAGAGGGGGAUCGGCCACCCUGGAACUGAGACACGGUCCAGACUCCUACGGGAGGCAGCAGUAGGGAAUCUUCCGCAAUGGGCGAAAGCCUGACGGAGCAACGCCGCGUGAGUGAUGAAGGUCUUCGGAUCGUAAAACUCUGUUAUUAGGGAAGAACAAAUGUGUAAGUAACUAUGCACGUCUUGACGGUACCUAAUCAGAAAGCCACGGCUAACUACGUG